rnacentral:misc_RNA from 1 species
GACGCUUGAGGGAUGUUCCAAUGCUAUAAGGAUAGGCACUGGAAAUGUUAACCGAGUCAUAAUCAAGCUUAGGCUUGGUAUCCUAUUAUUAUUUACCAAAAGAAUUCAGAAUUAAUAUUGUAACAUAGACGUAAAAAAUCUAUAAAACAACUUUUAACAACGGAUCUCUUGGUUCUCGCAUCGAUGAAGAACGUAGCAAAGUGCGAUAACUAGUGUGAAUUGCAUAUUCAGUGAAUCAUCGAGUCUUUGAACGCAACUUGCGCUCAUUGGUAUUCCAAUGAGCACGCCUGUUUCAGUAUCAAAACAAACCCUCUAUCCAACUUUUGUUGAAUAGGAUGACUGAGAGUCUCUUGAUCUAUUCUGAUCUUGAACCUCUUGAAAUAAACAAAGGCCUGAUCUUGUUUGAAUGCCUGAACUUUUUUUUAAUAUAAA